CACAAAGAAGAGCCGGG
rnacentral:tRNA from 1 species